GUGGGGAAUAUUGGACAAUGGGGGGAACCCUGAUCCAGCCAUGCCGCGUGUGUGAAGAAGGCCUUUUGGUUGUAAAGCACUUUAAGCGAGGAGGAGGCUACCGAGAUUAAUACUCUUGGAUAGUGGACGUUACUCGCAGAAUAAGCACCGGCUAACUCUGUGCCAGCAGCCGCGGUAAUACAGAGGGUACAAGCGUUAAUCGGAUUUACUGGGCGUAAAGCGCGCGUAGGUGGCCAAUUAAGUCAAAUGUGAAAUCCCCGAGCUUAACUUGGGAAUUGCAUUCGAUACUGGUUGGCUAGAGUAUGGGAGAGGAUGGUAGAAUUCCAGGUGUAGCGGUGAAAUGCGUAGAGAUCUGGAGGAAUACCGAUGGCGAAGGCAGCCAUCUGGCCUAAUACUGACACUGAGGUGCGAAAGCAUGGGGAGCAAACAGGAUUAGAAACCCUUGUAGUCC
rnacentral:rRNA from 1 species